rnacentral:rRNA from 1 species
UCGGACAUGCGAUCAGGAAGCAUAAACGGUUAA